rnacentral:rRNA from 1 species
UACGUAGGGUGCAAGCGUUGUCCGGAAUUAUUGGGCGUAAAGAGCUCGUAGGCGGUCUGUCGCGUCGGAUGUGAAAACCCAGGGCUCAACCCUGGGCCUGCAUUCGAUACGGGCAGACUAGAGUUCGGUAGGGGAGACUGGAAUUCCUGGUGUAGCGGUGGAAUGCGCAGAUAUCAGGAGGAACACCGGUGGCGAAGGCGGCGUCCUGGACCAAUACUGACACUGAGGAGCGAAAGCCAGGGGAGCAAACGGG